UACGAAGGGGGCUAGCGUUGUUCGGAAUUACUGGGCGUAAAGCGCGCGCAGGCGGCUAUCCAAGUCAGUGGUGAAAGCCCGGAGCUCAACUCCGGAACUGCCAUUGAAACUGUUUAGCUUGAGGAUGAGAGAGGUGAGUGGAAUUCCCAGUGUAGAGGUGAAAUUCGUAGAUAUUGGGAAGAACCCCGGUGGCGAAGGCGGCUCACUGGCUCAUUACUGACGCUCAGGCACGAAAGCGUGGGGAGCAAACAGG
rnacentral:rRNA from 1 species